GCACGGAUGGCCGAGUGGUCUAAGGCGCCAGACUCAAGCGACAAGCUUGGCACGAGUUCAGUGCCUCCUGGGUGUUCUGGUACCCGUAUGGGUGCGUGGGUUCGAACCCCACUCCGUGCA
rfam:Pristionchus pacificus strain PS312 contig9902, whole genome shotgun sequence.